rnacentral:RNase_P_RNA from 18 species
UUGGCCGGAAGAAGACGGUUGGGAGAGACACAAAGGCCUUAAACUAUGGCCUAAACACUCCCGGGAAGGUCUGAGAGAAGGCUUGAAAUAAGAGAUCUAGGAGAUCUUUCAGUUUCCUUAUAGAGAAGAGGCUGUAGAAGAAGAGUUUCCCCUGUUCGGGUUUGGAAACGGCCUCAGCCAGCAAUCCAAUAAGUACUGAGUGCGAUCGUCAUACCAACACAAUUCAGACUAGUCUUCGGCCAA